rnacentral:lncRNA from 1 species
UGAUUUGCGCAGAUGUUCAUUUGGUUCCCCCAAUUCUCACUUUCACACUUCUCUCUCUGGUUCUCCGGUGAUAUUAGGGUUUUGUAUAUUGUGUUUGAGAGUUAGAUCUUCAGGUGUUGAUGAUCAUCUAGGCUUUAAAUUGAGCAAGUUCCGGUCGGCUUUCUUUUCUCCAUCAUCAACUCACCGAAACAAACAUAAACAACGAGUGAACUAUGAUAUAAGCUUUUAUGCGGAUCUGUUGCUACACAAUGUGAAUCUUGAAUUAUGCUUUUGAAAAGACAUAUGAUAUUUCUGGGCUUCUAAUGGUAUGCAUGCCUAAGUAGCUUUUAUUGGUUUUCUGAAUGACAUACUUGAAGGCCAUAUUUUGUUGAGCUUAGAGAGGAAGGGGUGGUGCCGUUAUUGUAUAACGGAAUAUUGUUCAACGCGUGAUGGGCCACCGUCGGCAUAUUGUUCAACGCGUUAUAUUAUAACGAAAACCCGAUUUCGUGAUAUUUUCAACGCCGUUAUUGUUUUAUUUUGUGAGGGUAGUUGUUGGUUGGGGGGAAAUUGUUGGGUGUGGUGGUGAGUGAUGACCACCCCUACUAAAAAAGGUUGUGAGUGAUGAAAAAAUGGGAGAUGACAUGGCGGAACUUGAUUGGUGGUUGUGAGUGAUAGAUUCUAUCACUAGUGAACCACCCCCUCCCCUUAUUGUUAUUUUUGCUUCUUUGCAUUGUUGUCUAGCAUCAUAUGUUCCAUUAGACAGAAUGAUAUAUUUGAGUUUUAAAUGAUUCCUUU